rnacentral:misc_RNA from 1 species
GUUCAUCUGUUGGCUUGGGAUACUGAUCUUGAGGUAAUGGCCAUGGAAAAUAGCUAUAUCUCAAGUGUUGAAAAGGCACUGGUGUUUGAUCUUCUAUCUGGUUUUUUGGAUUCUGAGCUAAGAGAGAUGGAGAAUUUCAUGGAUAGUAUCCAAGCAGAUAUUGUUCAUGCUCGUCAUAAAAUAUUUUCAUGCGGACACUUAACAGAACUAGUCCCAAUCAUGGAAGAGAAAUUGCACGAUUCUGAGGAAUCCUUGAACAAAUCUAAAGAGCGGC